rnacentral:rRNA from 1 species
AGAGCGAACGCUGGCGGCAGGCCUAACACAUGCAAGUCGAACGGACCUUUCGGGGUUAGUGGCGGACGGGUGAGUAACACGUGGGAACGUGCCUUUAGGUUCGGAAUAAGCUCGGGAAACUGGGUCUAAUACCGAAUGUGCCCUUCGGGGGAAAGAUUUAUCGCCUUUAGAGCGGCCCGCGUCUGAUUAGCUAGUUGGUGGUGUAAUGGACCCCCAAGGCGACGAUCAGUAGCUGGUCUGAGAGGAUGACCAGCCACAUUGGGACUGAGACACGGCCCAAACUCCUACGGGAGGCAGCAGUGGGGAAUCUUGCGCAAUGGGCGAAAGCCUGACGCAGCCAUGCCGCGUGUAUGAUGAAGGUCUUAGGAUUGUAAAAUACUUUCACCGGUGAAGAUAAUGACUGUAGCCGGAGAAGAAGCCCCGGCUAACUUCGUGCCAGCAGCCGCGGUAAUACGAAGGGGGCUAGCGUUGCUCGGAAUUACUGGGCGUAAAGGGAGCGUAGGCGGACAUUUAAGUCAGGGGUGAAAUCCCAGAGCUCAACUCUGGAACUGCCUUUGAUACUGGGUGUCUUGAGUGUGAUAGAGGUAUGUGGA